rnacentral:rRNA from 1 species
AUGAUAGAAGACCUCUUGGAUGAAUUGAAUGGAGCAAAAAUCUUCACAAAACUUGAUCUGAGAAGUGGAUAUCAUCAAAUCAGAAUGAAAGAAGGGGACAUAGAGAAAACUGCUUUUAGCACACACAUUGGUCUAUUUGAAUUCUUAGUCAUGCCUUUUGGAGUGACAAAUGGGCCUCCCUCCUUUACAGAACUCAUGCAGACUGUAUUGGGGCCAUUACUGAGACACUGUGUGCUAGUUUUCUUUGAUGAUAUCCUCAUCUUUAGCAAGACCUACAAAGAACACUUGGAACAUGUAGCCCUGGUAUUAGAAGCACUCAGGAAACAUCAGCUCUAUGCUAAGCUCUCUAAGUGCACCUUUGCACAAAACAAAGUGAAGUAUUUGGGUUAUGUGGUGACAGACAAGGGAGUAUCCACAUAUCCUGCAAAAAUACAAGCCAUAGUAAAUUGGCCCACACCUCAGAAUGUGACACACCUGAGGAGUUUCUUGGGACUAGCAGGGUACUACAGGAGGUUUAUUCAGAAUUAUGGACUGAUUUGCAAGCCACUGUUUGAUGCAUUGAAAAAGGAAGGAUUUCAAUGGACUGACAGGCAAAUGACUGCUUUCCAACAACUAAAGACCAGGAUGACUUCUGCACCAGUCCUGGCCUUGCCUGAUUUCUCCCUCCCCUUUGUCCUCGAAGCUGAUGCUUAUGGAUAUGGAAUUGGAGCAGUGUUAAUGCAGAAGGGACAGCCCAUUGCUUAUAUGAGCAAAGCUCUAGGCCCUAAAGCUGCUGCUUGGUCCACAUAUGACAAAGAAGCACUGGCCAUCAUUGAAGCACUUAAGAAAUGGAAACAUUACUUUGCUUCAUCCUCUCUAAUCAUCAAAACUGACCAGCAGAGUUUGAAGUACAUACAUGAGCAAAAGAUAACUGAAGGGGUGCAGCACAAACUUCUCAUUAAACUCAUGGGGUACAAAUUCACAGUGGAGUACAAGAAAGGCAAGGAAAAUAGAGUAGCUGAUGCUCUCUCCAGAGUUAAAUAUGCCCUAAAUGCCCUGGGCUCUAGCUCUGCAAUUCCCUCUUGGAUUUCUGAAGUGGUGAACAGUUACAAAGGAGACACCAAAUGUGCUGAUCUAAUUGCUAAGCUAGCACUAGAUCCUACCGGCCAACCUCCUUAUACUCUCACUAGUGGAGUGCUCAGAUACAAGGGAAAAAUCAUGAUUGGCAACAACAGUGAACUGAAAAAUUCCUUGCUCACUUCUUUUCACAAGUCUGAAUUAGGUGGACACUCGGGGGAAAGAGCAACUUAUCAUAGGUUGAAAAUCCUUUUCACUUGGCCUGGCAUGAGGAAGGCAGUGCAAACCUUUGUCCGGCAGUGCCAUGUCUGUCAAUUGAACAAGGCCCAACAUGUGCAUCCCCCUGGCCUGUUGCAACCUCUUCCAGUUCCAGAUUUUGCUUGGACCCACAUUAGCAUGGACUUUGUGGAAGGGCUGCCAAAAUCUGAGCAUAAGGACAUGAUACUGCUUGUAGUUGAUCGUUUCACUAAAUAUGCUCACUUUGUAGCCAUGAGACACCCCAUCACUGUCAAGACAGUAGCCCAAGCUUUCACUGACAACAUAUUCAGAUUACAUGGACUGCCUACAGUGAUAGUAACUAACAGAGAUAGAAUAUUCACUAGUCAUCUCUGGCAACACUUGUUCAACAAAAUGGGAGUUAAAUUACACAUGAGUACUUCCUACCACCCCCAAUCUUAUGGGCAAACAGAAAGAGUAAAUCAGUGCCUUGAGAAUUAUUUAAGAUGCAUGGCUUUUGCUCAUCCCAAGAAAUGGCAUACUUGGCUUUCAAUGGCUGAAUGGUGGUACAACACCACUUUCCAUACAUCACUAAAAAUGACUCCUUCUCAAGCUCUGUAUGCCAGACCCCCUCCAAUGAUUGCUGAAUUGAUGUUACCACCAGUGGAAGGUGAGGAUCACCAAGCUGAAUUGGACAGGGAGACAAUAGACCAACAGAUCAAGGACAAUUUACUUAAAGCACAAGAGAGAAUGAAGUUCUUUGCUGACAAGAAACGAUCUGAGAGACAACUUGCUGUGGGUGAUAUGGUCUAUGUUAAAUUGCAACCAUACAGACACACCAGCUUGAGCAUACACAGACACCUGAAACUUCACUCCAAAUACUAUGGGCCCUUCCGUGUCAUGGAGAGAAUUGGAGCUGUGGCUUAUAGGCUCCUCCUGCCCGAGGGUUGUCAGCUUCACCCCACCUUUCAUGUAAGCCAACUCAAGAAGCACAUUGGUCCCGAAGCUGUACCUAACCCCAAAUUACCCCUAUUGGAUGAACAUGGUAACAUCCUCAUUCAGCCUGAAGCACUGCUUGAACGACGACUAAUCCCACGAGUCCAGGGAGACAUUAGCAUUCCAGUAGUGCAGUGGCGCAUCAAGUGGCUCAACCUACCAGUGGAAAAUGCCACCUGGGAAGAUGCGGCUUUUAUUCAGAAAAUUUUCCCUGCUUUUCAUCCUUGA